GAUCCUGCCAAAGACUUCCGUAGCAAAUCUGCGGAUUGAGCUCCUCGGUAUCAGAAGAUUCAACCAAGGGUGUGGAACUUCCCAGAGGCUUUGUGCCCUCAGCUUCAGCUCAGAGGUGUGCACCCUGUCCAAAAACUCCAGGUACGUGACAUCGGUGUGGAAUAGAGUAGACUGUAUGAAUCUAAGCCGAGAUAGCAGUACAGCAACUUCCUGUAAACAUAAAAUUUACAGUUAUUAUCAUUGGAGUCUAAUAUCUUGGUGCAAAGUGAAAUAACAGGCUCACCUGUUCCAUGGUAUCAGUGUCGCCACUAUUGAAGUUCUUGGUUAGUUCGAGGCAGUAUAGCACUCUUCCAUCUGACUGGAAAUGGCUUGCUUGGACUGGGUCCUGUGGCUUGAAGGACGCCCUCCAGUUGUUGAGGAUGCCUGUCCUGUUUAUGAUGACAAAACCUUCAAUGUAGUCAAAGGAGUUCUCUGCCAUGAUCAACAUCUCCUGGUCUUCGGUGAAGCUUUCAAAAUCCGAGCUCAAGUGCAAUCCUUGCUCUGGUUAUGAUCCCGAACUGACCAAGACCGCCGAGAGCAGCAUAGAAGAGAUCAGAGUUAUCCUCGGGUGAGCAGGUACUCGAUGGAUACUUGCUACCAGCGGUGUAUAUAGGUACCGUUGAACCAAGCUCGGGAAACCAUUAUAUUCCCAAGUUUUUAGAAUUUAAUUAUAAGAGGGUGGGUGUUCAUUAGCAGGUACAACCUCGACCAUCGGACGAUCGCAAUUCUUCAAUACAUGGCUUCACCUUCACCACACUUGGGCUUUAGAAAGAAGAAAAAAAGACAACAAAAAUACAUGAUUACAACUAGUGAACUUGACUGGUAUAGAUAUUUAUGGACAGUAUGCUGACCUACGUUGGCAUGUUUCAGAUGCGUGUGCCGUGUCUGGUCUGAAAAACUGUUGUGCACCACAAGCUCUGGUCCAAAGCGCCACGUACGUGCUUUCUUUCUCUGUCAUCUCAGUUGUGUGCCAACGUGAACCUAUGUACAUCAGCGUUCGUGUCGAGCUACGCAGGGGCGCGCGGCAACCUCCUUUAUUUUCCAACUCCCUUUGACCGGUUUUCAUCGGAUCGGUAGUGCCAGAUGCAUGCAUGCGGAAGAGGGAGUGUGUGUGAUGGCAGAGAGCGACCGAAUUGGACGUUCACUGAACCAACGUAUGGAAAAUAACCCAUCGAUCUCAUCUGGCUAGUGCGUUGGUCUAUAUGAUCAAGCUCUGAAAACAGUGACAAAGUAUGAAAACUACAUUGUCUUUUGUAUGCGGAUGCAUUCCCAUGUCGAUGCAUGUAGCAUAUAUGCAAUUGCAAUGCACUAAUACAGUGCAGUGCUAAUAUCUUCUUGUGUGCAAUUGCAAUGCAUGCAGUAGUCAAAAGCUAGAUGCCAUGAGAACCAACCCUAAAAGGCGGUCUAACCAUCUAAGACGGCAACUAGCUAGCGCUGCACUUGGCAUGAUUUCUUUUUUUUAACUACUUUAACCAGCAGGCAGCAGCCAGACCACCUGAUAAUUGUCCAGUGUUUAGGUAGACAGCAGUUAAUCCUCACGCACUGUUCUUCGCUUUGUUCGUGUCAUCAUAUUGCCGGCAUCUUUGAACAUUAUUGUAUCGCUAGCUUUCGACGUCAGCUGCAAAGUAAAAAAAACCACUGACAUAAAAGACUAGCAAAUAGAAUUAAUAUUAAAACUAUCGAUCAAAUCACUAUAGUAAAACAACUCACAUCCGACGACCAUUCAAUAUCCGACAGCUUUCUAUGCUACCGUCGGACGUAAUCUUAUGUCCGAGGACCUCUGGUGACCGUCGGAUAUAAUAGCUCAUGUCCGACGGCUUAUCUAACUUAUAUCCGACGGUCCGAGUGAUAGCCGUUGGAUUUAUCCGAGUGAUAGCCAUUGGAUUUAACCUUAUGUUUGAUGGCCAACCGUCGGACUUAAGCGAUUUCCACGCGCGUGGCCAGGCACCGCCGUUUCAGUUCCACCGCGCGCUGCCCACAAUCAUCUCUCCCGCCGCCGUGGCCAGGCACCGCCCAAGCUCGCUCGCCGCCGCCGCCGCGCUGCUGCUCCCACCGCCACCGUACCCGCUCCCACCGCCACCGCGCUGCCCGCUCCCACCGUCGUCAACCGCCCCGGUGCCCACCACCGCCGCCCCGGCACCUGCUCCGACGUCGGCGUCCCCGACUCGUCCCCCGCCCACGCGAUGACCGUCCCGCCGCCAAGCCGCUAA